rnacentral:rRNA from 1 species
UACGUAGGCAGCGAGCGUUGUUCGGAGUUACUGGGCGUAAAGAGUGCGUAGGCGGUUUUCUAAGUUUGGUGUGAAAUCUCCCGGCUUAACUGGGAGGGUGCGCCGAAAACUGGAAGGCUUGAGUAUGGGAGAGGUAAGCGGAAUUCCCGGUGUAGCGGUGAAAUGCGUAGAUAUCGGGAAGAACAUCAGUGGCGAAGGCGGUCUGCUGGGCCGUUGCUGACGCUGAGGCGCGACAGCGUGGGGAGCAACAGG